rnacentral:rRNA from 1 species
AGAGUUUGAUCAUGGCUCAGAUUGAACGCUGGCGGCAUGCCUUACACAUGCAAGUCGAACGGCAGCGCGGACUUCGGUCUGGCGGCGAGUGGCGAACGGGUGAGUAAUAUAUCGGAACGUGCCCUGGAGUGGGGGAUAACGUAGCGAAAGUUACGCUAAUACCGCAUACGAUCUACGGAUGAAAGUGGGGGAUCGCAAGACCUCAUGCUCGUGGAGCGGCCGAUAUCUGAUUAGCUAGUUGGUGGGGUAAGAGCCCACCAAGGCGACGAUCAGUAGCUGGUCUGAGAGGACGACCAGCCACACUGGGACUGAGACACGGCCCAGACUCCUACGGGAGGCAGCAGUGGGGAAUUUUGGACAAUGGGGGCAACCCUGAUCCAGCAAUGCCGCGUGAGUGAAGAAGGCCUUCGGGUUGUAAAGCUCUUUUGUCAGGGAAGAAACGGUUUUGGCUAAUAUCCGAAACUAAUGACGGUACCUGAAGAAUAAGCACCGGCUAACUACGUGCCAGCAGCCGCGGUAAUACGUAGGGUGCGAGCGUUACUCGGAAUUACUGGGCGUAAAGCGUGCGUAGGCGGUUUGUUAAGUCUGUCGUGAAAGCCCCGGGCUCAACCUGGGAACUGCAUCCAAAACUGGCGAGCUAGAGUAUGGCAGAGGGUGGUGGAAUUUCCUGUGUAGCGGUGAAAUGCGUAGAUAUAGGAAGGAACACCAGUGGCGAAGGCGACCACCUGGGCUAAUACUGACACU